UACGUAGGGGGCAAGCGUUGUCCGGAAUUAUUGGGCGUAAAGAGCGUGUAGGCGGUCCGGUAAGUCGGCUGUGAAAGUCCAGGGCUCAACCCUGGGAUGCCGGUCGAUACUGCCGGACUAGAGUUCGGAAGAGGCGAGUGGAAUUCCCAGUGUAGCGGUGAAAUGCGUAGAUAUUGGGAGGAACACCAGUGGCGAAGGCGGCUCACUGGACCGGUACUGACGCUGAUGCGCGAAAGCGUGGGGAGCAAACAGG
rnacentral:rRNA from 1 species